rnacentral:tRNA from 1 species
GGCCUCGUAGCUCAGUUGGCUAGAGCGUUGUCUGUAAUAAAGACUCCCUCUUGCUGUCCUGGGUUCGAAUCCCUCCGAGGCUC